CUUCAUGUGAUGCACAAGGGAAGCUUCUUGCCUCAGAACUGGGAACUUGAGAGAAUCAUCCAAGCAAGGAGCUGCCUAAGUUUAGUGAUGAGCAAAGUGCCCAAGGAGAAAGGCACAGACCCAAGGAGAUCAGCACCCUCCAUAUGGGAUUCCCAUGGCAGAGCUUGCUUGAGAAAAGCUGAACACAGCACCAGACUUCAAAUGCAGUUUGGCAUGAGGGAGAGAGACAUCGGUCUGUGCUGCAGGAUUGCUUCAUUUCUGCCCAGCUGAAGGAAGGGUGGAGUGAGAUGGCUGCCCAUCACUACUGGCAAAGGAAGGAAGGUGCUUGUUGUUGGAUACCAAAGGACAUGGAGCCACUAUUUACAGGAAUAGAGACAAGCAUUGGCUAGCACUGAGGCCUUAAACCCUCAAGGAACCCUCCAAGCCAACACCAUUGACUUCAGUAGGAGCUUCCCAGAAAAGAGAACUUUAAAAACAUGAGCAGCAAAAGUCUAGUAAAAGUUGUAACCAGCUCUGACUGUCCAUUGUAUGAUGGCCAAAAAAUAUCACCUGCUGAUGAUUUACAGACUCCUGGGAGACGUGGUGUUGAGUCUCAAAGAACUGGAAAGAGAACAACUCGCCCAAUGUGCUUCUCGCCUGUUGUUUCCUGUCCUCCCACCAUGCACCACUGUAAAGAGCUUGGAUCUGUCUUUUGAUGACCUUCUUGUUUAGCAAUGAGGGUCAUUUGCUGACCCAGGGCAGUUCUGGAGUACUCGCAUGCCAAGCAGGUGCUGAUGUAAUGUUCUGAUGUUUUGGAUGGUAUAAAGCUCUCAGCCAUGCAAAGCAGCGUUCCCAACCAGGGCAUCGGAGGAGACAGCCCAGCAAAGCUGCAGGUGGAGCAGAACUCACUGCAACUGUUUUCCGUAUGUUCCUCCCUAUGGGGGCCUGGCUGGACCUCGACCUGAGGAGGGAACUGCAUGGAAACCUAAUGAAAAGGCACAUCCCACCCCCAGGCAUACCAAGUGGCCAAACUCUUUUGUUCUAGUUCUCUCCGUUUUUAGCAGGUUUUUAUCAGUGUGUGUGUGGGGGGGGUGCUAAAGGCAGCAAGUUCUUCCCUUGCUCUGCGCAAGUCCACAACAACCUCUCCGAGUGCUCAGCCUUAAUUUGCAGCCCUUCAAAAGAACCUUCCCCUAUUUCCUCUCCUCCUCUUUUUUUUCUGUUUUUUAAAAAGAGACAGUUCACAUUGAUUAAUCAUUUUAUAAAUGUUUGGGGCUGAGAUUGUGAAACCUUUGCUGGCAAGCAUUUUUCUCCUGGAGUCAAGGAGACUACUCAUUAGCAUGACUACUUGCCAGCAUCAGAGAGGGAUUUGCAAUCUGGAUGUUUGCAGUUUUAAAAAUAUGUCUCUAUUUAGCUGAUU